rnacentral:rRNA from 1 species
CUACCCGGUAGAUGGGCCGCAGGUGUAAGCCCCGCAAGGGGUUGAGCCGAGCGGUUCCAAUAGCCCGAGGAUU